rnacentral:rRNA from 1 species
GAACGCUGGCGGCGUGCCUAACACAUGCAAGUCGUACGCGAAGGCCUUCGGGCGAGUAGAGUGGCGAACGGGUGAGUAACACGUGAGCAACCUGCCUUUGGAUUCGGGAUAACUCCUCGAAAGGGGGGCUAAUACCGGAUAAGACCACAGAGUCGAAUGGCUCAGAGGUAAAAGAUGGCCUCUUCAUGAAAGCUAUCGUCCAAAGAUGGGCUCGCGGUCCAUUAGCUUGUUGGUGGGGUAACGGCUCACCAAGGCGACGAUGGAUAGCCGACCUGAGAGGGUGAUCGGCCACACUGGGACUGAGAUACGGCCCAGACUCCUACGGGAGGCAGCAGUGGGGAAUUUUGCGCAAUGGGGGAAACCCUGACGCAGCGACGCCGCGUGGAGGAUGAAGGCCCUUGGGUUGUAAACUCCUGUCAGGAAGGACGAACGGCAGGGUAGUUAAUACCUGCCCUGUUUGACGGUACUUCCAGAGGAAGCUCCGGCUAACUCCGUGCCAGCAGCCGCGGUAAG